AAGUCGAACGGUAACAGGACUUCGGUCGCUGACGAGUGGCGCACGGGUGAGUAACGCGUGGGUUAUCUGCCCAUCUGUGGGGGACAACUUGGAGAAAUCCAAGCUAAUACCGCAUACGAUCUACGGAUGAAAGCGGGGGAUCUUCGGACCUCGCGCAGAUGGAUGAGCCCGCGUCUGAUUAGCUUGUUGGUGAGGUAACGGCUCACCAAGGCGAUGAUCAGUAACUGGUCUGAGAGGAUGAUCAGUCACACUGGAACUGAGACACGGUCCAGACUCCUACGGGAGGCAGCAGUGGGGAAUUUUGCACAAUGGGGGAAACCCUGAUGCAGCGACGCCGCGUGCGGGAAGAAGGCCUUCGGGUUGUAAACCGCUUUCAAUUGGGAAGAAGAGAUGAGGGUUAAUACCCCUCUGAUUUGACGGUACCUUUAGAAGAAGCUCCGGCUAAUUUCGUGCCAGCAGCCGCGGUAAUACGAAAGGAGCAAGCGUUGCUCGGAUUUACUGGGCGUAAAGCGGGCGUAGGUGGCUUGUUAAGUCGGGUGUGAAAUCCCAGGGCUCAACCCUGGAACUGCACUCGAUACUGGCAGGCUAGAGUUCGGGAGGGGGAUGCGGAAUUCCGUGUGUAGCAGUGAAAUGCGUAGAUAUACGGAGGAACACCUGAGGCGAAGGCGGCAUCCUGGACCGAUACUGACACUGAGGCCCGAAAGCGUGGGUAGCAAACAGGAUUAGAUACCCUGGUAGUCCACGCCCUAAACGAUGUCUACUAGCCGUUGCGGGUAUCGACCCCUGCAGUGGCGAAGCUAACGCGAUAAGUAGACCGCCUGGGGAGUACGGUCGCAAGAUU
rnacentral:rRNA from 1 species